GCGUUGAGCUAACCGGUACUAAUGAACCGUGAGGCUUAACCUUACAACGCCG
rnacentral:rRNA from 1 species